GCUUAUAAUUAAAUCUCUCUUAAGGACAUCAAAGUGUCAUGUUUGUCUUUUAAACACCCUCAAUAAGGAGGACCAUAGACUAAAAAUUUUACGAGUCUUAAAACUAAGUAUUGGUUCUGUAAUAACAAAUGAGAGCAAUGGAAUUUACAAAGCAAGCUUAUGUUGAAAGUCAGAGUCUGAAGACCAUCAAAGUUUGAAGAACAUCAGAAGCUGACUGCCAGAGUCUGAAGUUCGUCAGAGUUUCAAGUUAAGAACCUGGAGUUAGUUAUAUUUGGUUAUUUUAAGACAUAAGUUUGGAGAAGGAAUAAAAGCCUAGAGCAACGACAAUUUCAGAGGAAUUAGAAGGCAUUGAAUACUUAUUCACUAAAGAGCGCAUAAAAAGGACAAUUGUACAACCACUACUCCACUCUUGACUCUUGUCUGCACAUAGUACAACUACAACUGUGUCUACACUGUUUAAUUCUCCAAACAAGGAAUGGAUUUCAAAUUAUUCCCUCCUAGGACAUUAACCAAAUCAAGCAAUAGAUCAUUGGUGAUGAUCAAACUUCUAAAACGAAUCUUUUGAUGUGCUGGCAUUUCUACAACGUAUGUCUCAUACCUCUAUAUAAAGGAAUGAAGACUUGAAGAUUUGUAGAGACUGAACAAUAAUUUACCUGUGCCAAAACUCGGCUGAAAUUGUUGCACAUCAGUUCACUAAUAUUUUCUUAUAAACUUUUAUAUCUUAGAAAUUCUAGAGUCUUAAGAGUCUGU
rnacentral:lncRNA from 1 species